rnacentral:rRNA from 1 species
AGAGUUUGAUCCUGGCUCAGGACGAACGCUGGCGGCGUGCCUAACACAUGCAAGUCGAGCGAUGAAGCCCUUCGGGGCUGAUUAGCGGCGGACGGGUGAGUAACACGUGGGUAACCUGCCUCAUAGAGGGGGAUAGCCUCCCGAAAGGGAGAUUAAUACCGCAUAACAUAUUUUGGUCACAUGAUCGAAAUAUCAAAGGAGUAAUCCGCUAUGAGAUGGACCCGCGGCGCAUUAGCUAGUUGGUGAGGUAACGGCUCACCAAGGCGACGAUGCGUAGCCGACCUGAGAGGGUGAUCGGCCACAUUGGAACUGAGACACGGUCCAGACUCCUACGGGAGGCAGCAGUGGGGAAUAUUGCGCAAUGGGGGAAACCCUGACGCAGCAACGCCGCGUGAAUGAUGAAGGCCUUAGGGUUGUAAAGUUCUGUCUUCUGGGACGAUAAUGACGGUACCAGAGGAGGAAGCCACGGCUAACUACGUGCCAGCAGCCGCGGUAAUACGUAGGUGGCAAGCGUUGUCCGGAUUUACUGGGCGUAAAGGAUGCGUAGGCGGAUAUCUAAGUCAGAUGUGAAAUACCCGGGCUCAACUUGGGUGCUGCAUUUGAAACUGGAUAUCUAGAGUGCGGGAGAGGUAGGUAAGUGGAAUUCCUAGUGUAGCGGUGAAAUGCGUAGAUAUUAGGAGGAACACCAGUGGCGAAGGCGACUUACUGGACUGUAACUGACGCUGAGGCACGAAAGCGUGGGGAGCAAACAGGAUUAGAUACCCUAGUAGUCCACGCUGUAAACGAUGAAUACUAAGUGUUGGAGAAAUUCCCCUGCAGUGCCGAAGCUAACGCAUUAAGUACCCCGCCUGGGGAGUACGGUCGCAAGACUAAAACUCAAAGGAAUUGACGGGGGCCCGCACAAGCGGUGGAGCAUGUGGUUUAAUUCGACGCAACGCGAAGAACCUUACCAGGUCUUGACAUACUCGGCAAAGCUCUAGAGAUAGAGUGGAGGUUAUCCGGGAUACAGGUAGGUGCUGCAUGGCUGUCGUCAGCUCGUGUCGUGAGAUGUUGGGUUAAGUCCCGCAACGAGCGCAACCCUUGUCCUUAGGCCAGCAAGUAAUGUUGGGCACUCUAAGGAGACUGCCGGUGAUAAACCGGAGGAAGGUGGGGAUGACGUCAAAUCAUCAUGCCCUUUAUGACCUGGGCUACACACGUGCUACAAUGGCCUGUACAAAGGGUAGCGAAGCCGCGAGGUGAAGCCAAUCCCAAAAAGCAGGUCUCAGUUCGGAUUGUAGGCUGCAACUCGCCUACAUGAAGUCGGAAUCGCUAGUAAUCGCGGGUCAGCAUACCGCGGUGAAUACGUUCCCGGGCCUUGUACACACCGCCCGUCACACCACGAAAGUCUGCAACACCCGAAGCCGGUGCAGUAACCGAAAGGAACAAGCCGUCGAAGGUGGGGCCGAUGAUUGGGGUGAAGUCGUAACAAGGUAACC